GGGCCUAUAGUUUAGCGGUAAAAUUUUCGUCUCCAAAACGAAAGUCCCAGGUUCGACCCCUGGUGGGCCCGCCA
rnacentral:tRNA from 1 species